GUCCAUACUGGGAUAUACUGGGGGGGCUACUGGUCCAUACUGGGGAUGCUCUGCUCCAUACUGGGCUAUACUGGUCCAUACUGGGAUAUACUGGGAGGGUACUGGUCCAUUCUGGGGAUGUCCGCUCCAUACUGGGAGUACUGGUCCAUACUGGGAGUCCCGGUCCGGGUCCAUACUGGCCUUACUGGUUCAUACUGGUCCAUACUGGGCAAUACUGGUCCAUACUGGGAUAUACUGGGAGGGUACUGGUCCAUACUGGGAGUCCCGGUCCCUAUGGGGAUGCCCUGCUCCAUACUGGGCAUACUGGUCCAUACUGGGAUAUACUGGGAGGAUACUGGUCCAUACUGGGGAUGCUCUGCUCCAUACUGGGCUAUACUGGUCCAUACUGGGCUAUACCGGUCCAUACUGGGAUAUACUGGGAGAGUACUCCUCCAUACUGGGAGUCCCGGUUCCUAUGAGGAUGCCCUGCUCCAUACUGGGCAUACUGGUCCAUACUGGGAGUCCCGGUCCCGGUCCAUACUGGCCUUACUGGUUCAUACUGGGCUAUACUGGUCCAUACUGGGCUAUACCGGUCCAUACUGGGCUAUACUGGUCCAUACUGGGAUAUACUGGGAGGGUACUGGUCCAUACUGGGAGUACUGGUCCCUAUGGGGAUGCCCUGCUCCAUACUGGGCAUACUGGUCCGUACUGGGAGUACUGGUCCCAAUCCAUACAGGGCUUACUGGUCCAUACUGGGCUAUACUGGUCCGUACUGGGCUAUACUGGUCCAUACUGGGAGUCCCCGUCCCAGUCCAUACUGGCCUUACUGGUUCAUACUGGGCUAUACCGGUCCAUACUGGGCUAUACUGGUCCAUACUGGGAGUCCCGGUCCCGGACCAUACUGGCCUUACUGGUUCAUACUGGGCUAUACUGGUCCAUACUGGGCUAUACCGGUCCAUACUGGGCUAUACUGGUCCAUA
ensembl:lncRNA